UACGUAGGGGGCGAGCGUUGUCCGGAGUUACUGGGCGUAAAGCGCUUGUAGGCGGUCCACCAAGUUUGGGGUGACAGUCGCCGACUUAAUCGGCAAAGUGCCUCAAAGACUGGCGGACUUGAGGGCCACAGAGGGACAUGGGACUCCAGGUGUAGUGGUGAAAUGCGUAGAUAUCGGGAAGAACACCCGUGGCGAAGGCGGCACUCUGGGACGGUACUGACGCUGAGACGCGAAAGCGUGGGGAGCGAACAGG
rnacentral:rRNA from 1 species